CCAGAGAGAUGAGGCUGAAGAAGGGAAAGUCUAGAAGACUCAGAGUGUGCUAAGGGCUGGACUUCCCAUGAUUGUUUUUGAAUGCCAGGGAAUGGUGAUGGGGCUAAAAAAUGCAGCAGCAUCUAGAAGGUGAGAAAGUUUUGAUUCUUGGCUGACACAAAGGAGACAAGUCUGUUUGCAAACACCUUGGUUUAAAUUCUGCCAGAAACAACUUGAAUUGUGAAGUGGAUUCUUUUGACAGUCUCCUAAAGAAAGAGGAGCCAGUUUACACCUUGACUUUAGCUUCAUGAGAAAACUAAGAUCACUGGACUUCUGCUCAACAAAAUGGGAAGGGCCUCAGUAAGGUAAUUUUUGAGAAAUGACCUGAAUGCUGGGAGGAAGGAAGUCGUGAAGAUACUGGGUGAGAACAUUCCAUGCAGGCAAAACAGACUCUCCCAGCCCAGACACAAUGCCAGUCAAUAAUCAAACUGUGUCUAUUAUAUUACUGGCUUUAGCUUUUCAAUUCAGAACUUUUCACGCUGGAAAGAAUAUUUGGUUCUGGUAUUAGUGCAUGUGUUAUCUCUACCAUGAACACUAACGUACUGGGUCCUGCAACGUGGCCAGUUCUCCGUGGCAGCAUCUACUGAAAUCUAUGCCAUCCCUGCAGUCCUGGUCACAUGAAUCAUUGUUUGCCUCCUACGAUGGCAUCUCAGGAUUGCAAGGCCAAGGUCCACUGCUCUGUGAGUUUCCUCAUAAACCUUUCUCAGCCAAUGUCCGUGACCUUUCACCAGCAGGGAAAAUCCCAGUGCUGUUCUAUGCUUCUUGGAGACUUCUGAGGCAUUCUGGUCUGGUCAGGUAUGUGCCUUGGCUUACUCUGAUGUCUGCUAUGACCCCGCCAUUUCCAUCCUGCAUCAUUGUGCUGCAGUGUGUCGCAGCUGACACACGUCUGGAUACUGCCAUUGUAACUUGCACCGAGGAUGUGGAGGUUCUGCCCUCAGGAACUCAGGUCUCCCCCGUGCCUUGUCUCUUCUUCUCCAUCCUAGAGAUCUGAGACCAUCCAUUAAAUGGAGUGAGACACCGCUCAAGUCACUUAACCUACUUGAGAUUGAAUUUCCUAAUCUGGAAUCUAGAAAACCAUCAUACUAAAAUUAAAUUAAAAGAUGUUUGUGGAGUCAAUUUAAGUGUGGUAUUGCAAAGUUUUCCUGUUUCUAAUAUAAAAUUAUGAGAUCUGAUCAAAAUGUAUGGUGAGUAUAUAAAUUUUAAAAAUUAUUAUAUUAAAAGCCACAUUGCCAUUAACUCCCCUCAAGGAACCUCU